rnacentral:rRNA from 1 species
CCUACGGGAGGCAGCAGUGAGGAAUAUUGGUCAAUGGGCGGGAGCCUGAACCAGCCAAGCCGCGUGCGGGAAGAAGGUACAGCGUAUCGUAAACCUCUUUUGUCAGGGAACAAAGGCGGGGACUAGUCCCCGGAUGAGGGUACCUGAAGAAAAAGCAUCGGCUAACUCCGUGCCAGCAGCCGCGGUAAUACGGAGGAUGCGAGCGUUAUCCGGAUUUAGUGGGUUUAAAGGGUGCGCAGGCGGCCUGUUAAGUCAGCGGUAAAAGCCCGGUGCACAAACCCGGCGAGCCGUUGAAACUGGCGGGCUGGAGUUGGAGAGAAGUACGCGGAAUGCGCGGUGUAGGGGUGAAAUGCUUAGAUAUCGCGAAGAACCCCGAUUGCGAAGGCAGGGUACCGGCUCCACACUGACGCUGAGGCACGAAAGCGUGGGGAUCGAACAGGAUUAGAUACCCGAGUAGUC